GUCUUCCAAUUCAGGGAAGGCAUUAAAUACAAAUUAUAAGAGCAAUUUCAAACUCAUGCAAAAUACUCUCUUGUUUCACGAUAAUAAGAUUAAAGAAUAAUUCCACUGAGAAAAAUGAGUAAUUUUCCAAUUUGUCGCUCUAUAUUAAUCUGUUGAAUGCAGAGUAUUAGGUAGCCAUGUUUUACUUUAUGUACCAAAAUAUUCCAAAGCC
rnacentral:lncRNA from 1 species